AUCCAGCUGACGAGUCCCAAAUAGGGUGAAACGUGCGCCCUGCAU
rnacentral:hammerhead_ribozyme from 1 species